rnacentral:RNase_P_RNA from 1 species
ACAGGUUCGAGGAAAGUCCGUGCACCAUAGAGCAGGAUACCGGAUAACGUCCGGUGGAGGUGACUCUAAGGCCAGUGCAACAGAAAUAGACCGCCCGCAAGGGUAAGGGUGGAAAGGUGAGGUAAGAGCUCACCAGCAGGCUGGGGACAGUCUGGCUCUGUAAACCCUAUCCGGUGCAAGAUCAAACGUCCAAUGGGCUGCUCGUCCGGACAAAGGAUCGCUGGAGCCCGGUGGUGACGCCGGGCCAAGACAGAUGAUAGUCGAAAACAGAACACGGCUUACCGGCUUGCUUC